CCUACGGGAGGCUGCAGUAGGGAAUCUUUCACAAUGGGCGAAAGCCUGAUGGAGCAACGCCGCGUGCAGGAUGAAGGCCUUCGGGUUGUAAACUGCUUUUAUAAGCGAGAAUUAUGAUGGUAACUUAUGAAUAAGGAUCGGCUAACUACGUGCCAGCAGCCGCGGUCAUACGUAGGAUCCGAGCAUUAUCCGGAGUGACUGGGUGUAAAGAGUUGCGAAGGUGGCAUAAUAAGUAGCUAGUGAAAUCUGGUGGCUCAACCAUUCAGACUAUUAGCUAAACUGUUAAGCUCGAGACCGUUAGGGGUAACUGGAAUUUCUGGUGUAGGAGUGAAAUCCGUAGAUAUUAGAAGGAACACCAAUAGCGUAGGCAGGUUGCUGGGACGGUUCUGACACUAAGGCACGAAAGCGUAGGGAGCAAACGGGAUUAGAUACCCCUGUAGUC
rnacentral:rRNA from 1 species